rnacentral:rRNA from 1 species
GACGUAGGAGGCGAGCGUUGUCCGGAUUUACUGGGCGUAAAGCGCGCGCAGGCGGUCGCGCAGGUCCUCUGUGAAAGCCCCCGGCUCAACCGGGCGGAUGCGGGUGAAACCGCGCGACUGGAGGGUGGGAGAGGUCGGCGGAAUUCCCGGUGUAGUGGUGAAAUGCGUAGAUAUCGGGAGGAACACCCGUAGCGAAGGCGGCCGACUGGACCACACCUGACGCUGAGGCGCGAAAGCGUGGGGAGCAAACAGG